AAGAAAGAACAGGGAAGGGGAAGAAAUCGAAUGUGUUCGGCUAAGAAGGAAGGUCGAGCAUAAAUUGGAGCAAAGGACAACCGAGUUUAAAGGAUUUGUUGAGAAGUUGGCGUAACUAGGUCGCAAGGGACGCAAGGGAAUGCUGGGGCUAUAAGAGCCAAAUCCAGAUUCCGAAUCCUGGCUGUACCUGAGUAUCUGAGUUUAUGAGUUUUAAGAAGAAUUUAGUUCAGCUUCUGCCACUCAGGAUAGUUCAAGAGUUGCAUAUCACUUUGUAUGUAAUUUUGUUGGUUUGUAAGAAAUUUUAUCUGCACCAUAUUGAUAGAAAAAGAAUGUAUAGAAGGGAUGUAAGA